rnacentral:rRNA from 1 species
UACGAAGGGGGCUAGCGUUGUUCGGAAUUACUGGGCGUAAAGCGUAUGCAGGCGGAUCGUUAAGUCGGAUGUGAAAGCCCUGGGCUCAACCCAGGAAGUGCAUACGAAACUGGCGAGCUUGAGUAUGGAAGAGGGUCGCGGAAUUCCUGGUGUAGAGGUGAAAUUCGUAGAUAUCGGGAGGAACACCAGUGGCGAAGGCGGCGACCUGGGCCAAUACUGACGCUGAGGUGCGAAAGCGUGGGGAGCAAACAGG